UCAAGACAAUGGGAAAAAGGCCUUGAAGGCAUUUCAGAGACCUUUGUAACAGCCCUUGCUGUCACUGGCCCUGGGGCCUAGGAGAAAAGAAUAGUUUCCUGGCCCAGCCCCAUGGCUCCACUGCUGUGUGCAGCCUCAGGACACUGCUGCCUGCAUCCCUGCAGCUCCAUCUCCAGCUCCAGCCAUGGAUGAAAGAUGCACAGGUACAGCUUGCAUCACACUUCAGGGGGUGCAAGCUCCAAGCCUUGGUGGCUUCCACAUAGUGUUAAGCC
rnacentral:lncRNA from 1 species